rnacentral:lncRNA from 1 species
GUACUAUAGGCAACAAUUUAUGCAUGUUACUGGGUGUAUUUUUGCCACACUAUAAACCUGUUCCCAAAAAUAUAAUGGGGGACAUUUAUCAACCGUGACCAAUGAACUUUUUUGGCAACACUUGUUAACUGUCGCCUUAACCAUCUUAGGGAACAAUUUUCAAGGGUUGCGUUAUUAUUAACAAAAAGGCUACGUUUAACGAUUGUCGCAGUUAAAAAAGAUAUAUAUUUUUUUUAUUUUGAUUUCCCUUCAAAUAUAUAAUUAAUAAAUAAUUUAAUAACAAUUAGAGCUGUCAAAAAAGACCGGGCUAUCGGGCCGGCCCAUUAGAUCUAUCAUUUUACAUGGGUCGGACUUCAUAAAAAGGGGACCAGUCUUUAUCGGGCCGGACCUUAUCGGGUCAGACUUUUUCAUGGGCCGUCAUGGGUCGGC